AUUGAACGCUGGCGGCAUGCUUUACACAUGCAAGUCGAACGGCAGCGCGGGCUUCGGCCUGGCGGCGAGUGGCGAACGGGUGAGUAAUGCAUCGGAACGUGCCCAGUAGUGGGGGAUAGCCCGGCGAAAGCCGGAUUAAUACCGCAUACGACCUGAGGGUGAAAGCGGGGGACCGAAAGGCCUCGCGCUAUUGGUGCGGCCGAUGUCGGAUUAGCUAGUUGGUGGGGUAAAGGCUUACCAAGGCGACGAUCCGUAGCUGGUCUGAGAGGACGACCAGCCACACUGGGACUGAGACACGGCCCAGACUCCUACGGGAGGCAGCAGUGGGGAAUUUUGGACAAUGGGGGCAACCCUGAUCCAGCCAUGCCGCGUGCGGGAAGAAGGCCUUCGGGUUGUAAACCGCUUUUGUUCGGGAAGAAAUCCUCUGGGCUAAUACCCCGGGGGGAUGACGGUACCGGAAGAAUAAGCACCGGCUAACUACGUG
rnacentral:rRNA from 1 species